rnacentral:misc_RNA from 1 species
AGGAAGAGGGACAAAAAAAUACCAAAGGGUAUAUAUGGGGCAAGGCUGGAAUGAAGCUGGUUUGUGCUGUACUCUCUCUUCCAGUUCCUUCAAAAUCAUCUAAUACUUGUGGAGAGCAAGUUAAUAGUGUGCUUAGUCAAGUGGUACCUGAUUAUCUAGAACAGAGGGCACUUAACAAGCUACUUUUGAUUGGAUAUAGUGGAUCUGGUACUAGCACCAUAUAUAAGCAGGCAAAAAUUCUU